rnacentral:rRNA from 1 species
GACGUAGGGCGCGAGCGUUGUCCGGAUUUAUUGGGCGUAAAGAGCUCGUAGGCGGCUUGUUGCGUCGACUGUGAAAACCUGCGGCUCAACCGUGUGGUCUGCAGUCGAUACGGGCAGGCUGGAGUUCGGUAGGGGAGACUGGAGUUCCUGGUGUAGCGGUGAAAUGCGCAGAUAUCAGGAGGAACACCGGUGGCGAAGGCGGGUCUCUGGGCCGAUACUGACGCUGAGGAGCGAAAGCGUGGGGAGCGAACAGG